rnacentral:lncRNA from 1 species
GGGUGGAUAACAAACAGGAUGUUGUACUUUUAAUUAAUUGUUUUUGAGCUCUAGACAUUUCACCAUCCGCCUUAUUCAGGUCAAAACCGUAUUCAGUUACUUUUCGUCGCAGGUUCUCUAUGGACUUUUCAUCUUUUGUACUCAUCGGAGUAUUUUCUGCAGUUGCCUUCAUUUUGUGGAUCUGGGCUCGUAGGGCUUCAUUUUCUUUAAUCAAAACCUUGUUUUCUCCCUCACUAGCUGCGGCUUGCAGACUUUUUUC